AAGGAUACUGUUGAGGAUGCUUAAGAAUGUGGUUGUGCAUUACAACAGGACAGAACAAAUUCCCUAUGCUGCUAGUGUUUCAUAUUAGCUGGCGGAUAAAGAAGAGGUCUAAAGAAAUGCAGACACAUUUGCUCCAGUCCAAGAAUCCACCGAAGCUGUGCGGAUUUUCCCAUUCACUUCAAAGGAGAAGCCAUUCCUGUGCAGACGGUUCCAUUACAAGCACAGACCUUUCUACACUAUUGCUUCAAACAGGGCAUUCUACUCCUCUAAUCACACAAAGCUCCAGAAUGGGGCUUCAAGUCCCACUAAAACCAGCAUUAUUUAUUUUUCAGGUAAUAUGGUUAAGGGGUUCAGUCACAGUCUUUUUUCUGGCAUCUCUGUGUGUAGCCAAAUAUACAUAUGUAUUUUAAAAAAUCAAAAAAUAA